AACGAACGCUGGCGGCAUGCCUAACACAUGCAAGUCGAACGAGACCUUCGGGUCUAGUGUCGCACGGGUUCGUAACGCGUUGGAACCUGCCCUUAGGUUCGGACUAACUCCCCGAAAGGGGUGCUAAUACCUGAUAUUGUCUUCGGUCCAAAGAUUUAUCGCCUUUGGAUGGGCCCGCGUUGGAUUAGCUAGUUGGUAGGGUAAAAGCCUACCAAGGCGACGAUCCAUAGCUGGUCUGCGAGGAUGAUCAGCCACACUGGGACUGAGACACGGCCCAGACUCCUACGGGAGGAAGCAGUGGGGAAUAUUGGACAAUGGGCGAAAGCCUGAUCCAGCAAGGCCGGGUGAGUGAUGAAGGACUUAGGGUUGUAAAGCUCUGUUACCAGGGAGGAUAAUGACAGUACCGGGAGAAUAAGCUCCGGCUAACUCCGUG
rnacentral:rRNA from 1 species